GAUGAACGCUGGCGGCGUGCCUAAUACAUGCAAGUAGAACGCUGAAGGCGGAGCUUGCUCUUCUGGAUGAGUUGCGAACGGGUGAGUAACGCGUAGGUAACCUGCCUGGUAGCGGGGGAUCACUAUUGGAAACGAUAGCUAAUAUCGCAUGACAACAGUUAUUGCAUGAUAACUGUUUAAAAGGGGCAACUGCUCCACUACCAGCUGGACCUGCGUUGUAUUGGCUUGUUGGUGAGGUAACGGCUCACCACGGCGACGAUACAUAGCCGACCUGAGCGGGUGAUCUGCCACACUGGAACUGAGACACGGCCCAGACUACUACGUGUGGCAGCAGUGGGGAAUCUUAGGCAAUGGACGGAAGUCUGACCGUGCAACGCCGCGUGAGUGCAGAAGGUUUUCAGAUCGUAAAGCUCUGUUGUAAUAGAAGAACGAGUGUGAGUGUGGAAAGUUCACACUUUGACGGUAUCUUACCAGAAAGGGACGGCUAACUACGUG
rnacentral:rRNA from 1 species